UACGGAGGUUCCUAGCGUUGUUCGGAAUUACUGGGCGUAAAGGGAGCGCAGGCGGAUCGAUAAGUCUAAAGUGGAAUCCCGGGGCUCAACCUCGGACGUGCUUUGGAUACUGUUGGUCUUGAGUUCGUGAGAGGAAGGCGGAAUUCAGGGUGUAGCGGUGAAAUGCUUAGAUAUCCUGAGGAACACCAGUGGCGAAAGCGGCCUUCUGGCACGAAACUGACGCUGAGGCACGAAAGCGUGGGGAGCAAACAGG
rnacentral:rRNA from 1 species